rnacentral:rRNA from 1 species
UACAUGGGGUGCAAACGUUGCUCGGAAUUAUUGGGCGUAAAGCGCGUGUAGGCGGCUUUGCAAGUCGGGUGUGAAAGCCCUCAGCUUAACUGAGGAAGUGCGCCCGAAACUGCAGAGCUUGAAUACCGGAGAGGAUGGCGGAAUUCCCCAAGUAGAGGUGAAAAUUCGUAGAUAUGGGGGAGGAACACCGGUGGCGAAGGCGGCCAUCUGGACGGCUAUUGACGCUGAGACGCGAAAAGCGUGGGGGAGCAAACAGG